GAGGAAAGAGGGAGGAGGGAAGAAUACAGGAAAGUCGAGCGAACAGACGAGGAGCUUGCUCCUCUGACGUUAGCGGCGGACGGGUGAGUAACACGUGGAUAAAAUACCUAUAAGACUGGGAUAACUUCGGGAAACCGGAGCUAAUACCGGAUAAUAUAUUGAACCGCAUGGUUCAAUAGUGAAAGACGGUUUUGCUGUCACUUAUAGAUGGAUCCGCGCCGCAUUAGCUAGUUGGUAAGGUAACGGCUUACCAAGGCAACGAUGCGUAGCCGACCUGAGAGGGUGAUCGGCCACACUGGAACUGAGACACGGUCCAGACUCCUACGGGAGGCAGCAGUAGGGAAUCUUCCGCAAUGGGCGAAAGCCUGACGGAGCAACGCCGCGUGAGUGAUGAAGGUCUUCGGAUCGUAAAACUCUGUUAUUAGGGAAGAACAAAUGUGUAAGUAACUAUGCACGUCUUGACGGUACCUAAUCAGAAAGCCCCGGCUAACUACGUU
rnacentral:rRNA from 1 species